rnacentral:sRNA from 1 species
CAGGAAACGACGACGGGUUCUGUUGUUUGCGUGGGAGACGUUGUUACCCGUCUGCACACGCUUGCCGGACACUUGGCAUACGCGGGACAUUG